rnacentral:rRNA from 1 species
UAUCUCUGUAGAGUCUGCAUAUCAAUAAGCGGAGGAAAAGAAACUAACAAGGAUUCCCUUAGUAACGGCGAGUGAAGCGGGAAGAGCUCAAAUUUGAAAUCUUCGAGGUUUUACCUUGACGAAUUGUAGUUUAAAGAAGUGUUUUCUGUUGAAGUUUCAGUAAAAGUUCUUUGGAAUAGGACAUCAUAGAGGGUGAGAAUCCCGUAUUUGACCGUUAUUUUCAGCUGUGUGAUACACUUUCAAAGAGUCGGAUUGUUUGGGAAUGCAGUCCAAAAUGGGUGGUAAAUUUCAUCUAAAGCUAAAUAUUGGCGAGAGACCGAUAGCGAACAAGUACCGUGAGGGAAAGAUGAAGAGAACUUUGAAAAGAGAGUUAAACAGUACGUGAAAUUGUCAAAAGGGAAGCGUUUGACACCAGUGUUGUUUUCUCGAAAAUCAAUUAAAAAUGGCUUGAUUUUGUGUUGUAUUGACCUUAAAAGCUUUCUUCACUUUUUUCAUGUCUUUUUUAAUGCACUUUUCGUUUAACAAGUCAACAUCAGUUUCUUUUGUUGUAAAAAGGUCAUUGGAAGGUGGCUUUCUUUUCGGAGAAAGUGUUUAUAGCCUUUGACUUCUGCAAUCGGAGAGACUGAGGUCUGCAGCGUAGAUCCUUCUGGAUUAGAUUCAUUUGUGCUAAGUUACAACCGUUUAUAGACAACUUGUUGACUAUAUUCGAUCCUGUUAGCUUACUCGCUUAUGUAAUUUUACCUACGCUUAGGAUGUUGAUAUGCAUGACUGAUAU